GGGCAAGAGUUGUGUCAAGACUUAUAGGCCUGUGGUCAGACCAAAAUAAUUAGAGUUACCAUGUGACAGGUCAUUUGCCACUGGCAUCCCAGGAAAUGAUGAGGCAGAUAAGUUGGCCCAGAUAUGUUGGUUAGAAGGAAAGCCUGCCUCUGAUGUAGCCUGCCAAUGGCUACAUCAGCAUUUGUUGCAUGUGGGGCAAAAGACAAUGUGGGCUGUAGCCCGUCGGUGGGGCUUGCCUUUGACCUUCGAAGAAGUUAGUAGAGCCCGCCAGGAGUGCGUUGUGUGCUCCAAAAGGGACUUACACCGACAGCAGCAUGGGGCAAUAGCUAAGGGGCCUAUACCCCUCGUCAGGUGGCAGAUAGACUAUAUUGGGCCUCUACCUGUGUCAGAAGGAUAUCGGUGUGCCAUGACUUGUGUGGACACAGCUACUGGACUUCUGGUUGCUUUUCCUACCCGUUGUGCAGACCAGCAGAUGACCAAAAGAGGCCUGGAGCACCCCUUUGCUGCCUAUAGUCGACCACAGGUAAUUGAGAGGGAUCAGGGCACCCAUUUUACUGGACAUGCACUGCAAGGAUGGGUGGACAGCUGGGAAUCAAGUGGAAGUUUCAUGUGCCAUACAAUCCUACCGCAGCAGGCAUGAUAGAGAAGCACAAUGGCUUGUUAAAAUCCUGACUAAAGUCAGAUACCAAUAGCCUGCGGGGAUGGUCAGUCUGCUUAUGGACUGUGCUAUGGCGUUUGAACGAGAGACCCUGAAAGGGAGCCCUGAGCCCCAUAGACAUGUUAACACAUAUGGCUGCCUCCCCUAUACAACUGCAAGUUCAAACCAAGGAAGAAUCACUGAAGCUGAGGUUCGGCCACCAGAAUAACAUCUUGCUGCCAGCACCAACUGCACUGAACCCCGGAGACUCCGUUGAGUGGACAUGGCCUUGGACCUUUUGACACAUGGACCAAUGAUGGCUGGCUCUCCUGGCACCUGGGGACAAGGCCUGGAAGCUGGCCUCCUGUGUAUUCCUGGAAUAACAGCAGAGUGGCUGCCAAAGGUCACAGUAGUAUAUCCUGAACGGCCAGAAGUGCAUCCCCAAGAGGCCGGCGGCUUCACAGCACGUGUGCUCUGCUGGGCUGUAUUUUCACUGUCAUAUUCUGCUGUGGCAGCUGUGCGUCGCCAUGCUGUCCUCCGUAGGCGACUCCCUGUGACCGGCGGUGAUGACCUAGGUAACUGGGCUGUAUGCUCACAUGACUACCCGCAGCCUGUUCACGACUGGCAACGAGGUUGACAUGGAUUAUCUGAUGCAAUCAAUGUUGUCACGUGAGCCCUUAAAAGCAAAGAGAUGUGGCAGAGGGGGAGGUCAGAGAGAUUGGAAGCAUCUUGCUGCAUCUUAAAGUGUCUCAUUCAAAGAAUGAGAAGGCUCGAUGUGCUGGCUUUGGUGAUGGAAGAGGCCUCCAGCAGAAGAAUGCAGGGGUCUCUAGGAAGUGAGAAUGACCCUGGCAACAUCUGGCAAGAAAUGGGGCCCUCAGCCCUAGCCCCAUGGCAGUGAAUUCUGCCAACCACCUGGGUGAUCCUGGCCAGGUUGCUGACACCUUGUGGCGCCCUGAGAUGAGAACCCAGCUGAGCCACUGGACUCCUGACCUCCAGGACUGAGAUAAUAAUAAAUGGGAGCUGUUUUAAGUUAAAUUUGGUAAUGUGUCACUGCAGCAAUAGGAAACAAGCUCUUUAUAU